UGCAGAGUACCCUCCGCCAUGACAGGAGGAAUCACUGCAGACCCCUCUACUCAGCCACCGGUGACACGGGGCAACUUUGACCUUCAAAGUGUAAGGUGGUCUUGAGACCUGGGAGAAGACUGACACCUUUCAGUUAUAUGGCAAGAGCAUCAUACCUCCAAAUCUACAAUCUGACUUGAGUAAGGACUCUGACUCUGUCACUGGAAAGACUGCAAUUCAUUAAUAUAGCUCUGCUAUGCACACUUUGAUAUUUAUCUUUAACCACAUCCCUUUAAAACUAAGCUUACUGACAGCUUGCUUCUGUAAGCUUCCAUUUUGCUAUUCAUUUAGCUUCAUCCCCAUACGGCUGUGGUGGCUCCUACUUCUGGCUCCCCUGGCUCCACACCACUGGCACAACUGGCCUGCAGAUAACAAGUCUGACUUGGAUGCUGUGUUAACAAUUUGCCAUUUUCAUACAGUUUUAAUUUUGUUGCAAGAGGAACUGAUGUUGAUUUUUGCUCCUGUUUCAAUAUUUGGCAGAAGCGUGAAAUUCCAUAUGUUGUAGGAAACAGGAAGAAAGUUUUAACUUCAACUGCUUAGGAUGUACACGCACAAACAACACACUCAAAGUGCACGGUCCUCCUGUUUAUUUCCUCCGCACCUCAGUUUUUCUGUUCUCUUUCUCUGCUUUUCUGAGAAUGUAUCUCUUUCACUUCUGCUCAUCUCUCUCCCACACCCAUAGGCAUGCACUGAUUUGUUAUUGCUAGGUUGCUUGUGAUUACAGGUCUGGAUACGCUGGUUUA